UACGGAGGGUGCAAGCGUUAUCCGGAUUCACUGGGUUUAAAGGGUGCGUAGGUGGGUUGGUAAGUCCGUGGUGAAAUCUCCGAGCUUAACUCGGAAACUGCCGUGGAUACUAUCAAUCUUGAAUAUUGUGGAGGUGAGCGGAAUAUGUCAUGUAGCGGUGAAAUGCUUAGAUAUGACAUAGAACACCAAUUGCGAAGGCAGCUCACUACACAAUCAUUGACGCUGAGGCACGAAAGCGUGGGGAUCAAACAGG
rnacentral:rRNA from 1 species